rnacentral:lncRNA from 1 species
GUCCAAUGAGAAAAUCAGCAAUAACUGAAGCAGCAAGCCUUUGUUCUGCGGAAGCUCGUUUCACUUCUCGUAAAGAGCAAAACUGCCUCGGGACAGCGUCGGAGCACUGGAGAUCCCAUUUAACGUUGAUGGCAGCUCUUGUUCUUAUUUUUAAUUAAUUAUGUGUAUGGGUGUUUUGUUUGCAUGCAUAUCUGUGUACCUCAUGUGUGCCCAGAGAUGCCCAGAAGAGGGAGUCAGCAUCAAAGCCCCUGGCUAACAUGUCUCAGCAGUUAAAAAUAUAGCUGUUGCUUUUAAAUGUCCCUUGUUUUUCUAGAUGAAGGCUAUCAGUGAUGACUAGCUGUGGCCAAAUGGUGGUCUAAUGUUUCAUUGCUCGCUUGAGCCAUGGCUGGUGAGCCAGCUGGGUCCUUGGCAUCUUGGGGAUCCUAUGCUCAUGUCUGCGACCCAGGCUUCCACCUUCCUGCUGGGUUUGUCUAGUGGGGAGAACGGAGAAGUCUAUGAUGAUUUCUUUAUCUCUAGUCUGGUCUCCACAGCUGCAUCUCUCCCUUUCCUCCAGGAUGGACCCACGGUAGCCUCACUGCUCCCACAUAACUUUGGUCAAUGGUUUCAGAAAAAACGCCAUCAUCUCCCUUUAUCUCCAUUUUCCUCAAUUUCUAGGGGAGGGAGGGCAGCAGCUCCUGGAUGUCAUUUGUCUCUGGGCUAUCUUGUCACUCAGUAUCAGUUUUUCCACCUUUUGAGGACUGCCAUCCUCUGAGCUGCUUCUCUUUUCUCUGCUGGACCCUGAAGGACAUAGCUGGGAGGAGGGCAUGGCACGCUGGAGUUUUCAUUUUGCUUUUGCAUCUAGAUCCCCACCACAAGUGGUGUUAACCUGGAUGGGUGUUUCUCACUUUCCCAGGGAACUUUCCAAGGCCACACAUGGUUCGGGUACCACCCAGAUGUGCUGGAACAGAAUGCCAGGGCUGUGGUCCAGACAUGCCCCUCAUAUUAUUGAUGGGAAGCAUCCAGUGACCAUCAUUAGUGUUGCUUACAGCAGAUGGCUGAGAAGUUGUUCACAGGAGUGUGUACCCAUCACCAUUGACUACAACACGGGAUAAAACACCUCUUCCCAUCCCCAGCAACUUAACUGCUCGAAGAUCCUCAGGGAGAGAUGUGGCCUCGAGAGCUCCUCCCACAUCCAUGUUGAGAUGGUGAAGGGACGAAUCCUGUGCAGGAAACCACAGCUGCUGUGUACUGAAGGGUGUAAGGACCAUAGCACACCUAGAAGUCUGCAUCUGCCAUGGUGUGUGCCUUCUUUCCUCUCUUCUGCUCUUUCUUCGCCCUCAUCGGUUAAGUUCUCUGAGCCUUGGAUAUGUUUGGCAGGAUUCUUUUGGUCUCCAGAGAGAGAAGCCCAAAUUUAAACUGGUUUCAUACAAUGGAGGAACUUACAGUUCUAUUAAUAGUGUCAGAGACGGUUCCAGGUGUGACAUUAUAGGAAUGGCCCUUUCUUAGUUUUGAUUUAGAAAAACAAAGAGACUCUAUCCUGUACAACACUUGAAUUUAGUUUCAAUCCUCACCUGUGCUUGAAGGACACCAGAUUUUAAGAUUUACUCUGAAUGUUAUGAAAAGGCAGUCUUUUACCCUCAUUUAUCAGACUGACAGG